rnacentral:lncRNA from 1 species
GUACCUACUCUGUGUGCUUCAAAUGAAAAACAGAGGUGACCAUCUCCAUGUCCACGAUAGUAGGGGGAUGUGGAGCUGCUUUGAAAUGCUUCUUCUGUGGCCUGUCCCCUAUGUCAUUAUGGCAGUGACUUUUACCCAAAAGCUUUAAUAAGGACUGAAACGAAACCAUCAUCUUUGAGAGUGCAGAAAGAGCUGGUGUGGGGUUCACCUUUCAUGUACCUCUCACGUGCUCUCUUGUAAGAGCAUCCUGAGCUGGUGGGACUGCACUCAGGGACCAGCUGUGAGCAAAGCAGCCACAAUUUGAGGGACUGGGUACACCUAGUGUGGUUUUUUCUUCUGCCAGUCUUUUCUUUCUGUUUUCCUCUCCUCCAGUUCUGUUUAUGUACAGGUAACAGUCCCUCUGGGGAAGUUCUUGCCCUGGUACAUAUUCUCUCUCAGUCCCUUUGGAAAUGUCCCUGUGCUGAUGAUGAUCAUCUGUGGCCUGUGGCUCUCCAGGGGUGUCCCUAUCCUAGUGUGUGCCACUGACAUGUCUGAGCAGAGGCACAUGUGGUUGCUGGAGGUUUUGGUGUGUGACAUUGUCCUAGUUAGAACAGCUGGGACCAGUUCAUCACUGGAUGGGUGUAACCCAAAACUGUGUAUUCUAGAGCCUUCCAUGCCAUUGCCCAGAAACUGUUACCAAUGAACCAUUUACACCAUCUACCCAUAGAGCCUGACUCCUCAGGCUAUAAACUGGUGUAAGGGGGCCUGGGAGACAGGAGGGUGCUCCUAUCCUCAUACCCAUUGUGGAACUGUGAGAUAAGAGGGUGUUCCUGUCCUCACACCCAUUGUGGAACUCCCCGCCCUGUGGGAGGCACUGGGCAUUCCUGCCUGAAUCAGAGGAUAGAUAAUCUUGGAGUCUUGGGACCUUUUAACCAUUCGUGGGAUCCAGAGAAGGACUGUGACCACCACUCUCAACCAGGCUGCAACCACCACUCUUGACCAGGCUGCACCAGCACUCUCACCAACAGGUUUUCCCCUCUCCCUUUACUUUGGACUCAGUAAACCCAAAGAACACCACUCUGUUCAUGCCUCAGGGUGCUGGGUUAUACAUUUGGGUUUUGUGGGUUAAAACCAAUUGUUUGUCUGUAUAAUUGUACUUAUUGUAUUAUUUUAUUAAAUUGCUAUUCUGACUUAUAAUCUCUCUUUUGAGUUGGGUUCAUUUCCCCUGCUGGUUUACCUUUAAACCAGCACACACAUGGGAUGUACACUGGUUGCAGAGCCAGCUGGGGUGGCUGUGGC